GACGAACGCUGGCGGCGUGCUUAACACAUGCAAGUCGAGCGGAAAGGCUCCUUCGGGGGUACUCGAGCGGCGAACGGGUGAGUAACACGUGAGUAAUCUGCCCUGCGCUCUGGGAUAGCCACCGGAAACGGUGAUUAAUACCGGAUAUGACCACUCUAGGCAUCUAGUGGUGGUGGAAAGUUUUUCGGCGCAGGAUGUGCUCGCGGCCUAUCAGCUUGUUGGUGAGGUAAUGGCUCACCAAGGCUUUGACGGGUAGCCGGCCUGAGAGGGUGACCGGUCACACUGGGACUGAGACACGGCCCAGACUCCUACGGGAGGCAGCAGUGGGGAAUAUUGGACAAUGGGCGGAAGCCUGAUCCAGCAACGCCGCGUGAGGGAUGACGGCCUUCGGGUUGUAAACCUCUUUCAGUACCGACGAAGCGAAAGUGACGGUAGGUACAGAAGAAGGACCGGCCAACUACGUGCCAGCAGCCGCCGUAACAC
rnacentral:rRNA from 1 species